rnacentral:lncRNA from 1 species
GGCACGUGACAUCCGAUGGUUCCAAAUGUUCUCUUUGCUGAACUGGUAUCUGCCAGAUUUCUCCACUGUGAAGUACGCUUUCCCUUCGGGGAUUAAUAAGUAACAUGGAAACGGGUGCUUUGAGCCCGAGGACAUUCCUGCCCACCCACAACGGACUUCUCCCCGCUGAUGCUUCUCACCUAAAUCAGGUUUUACUCUCAUGGAGCCAAAUGAUUUUCUAACUCCAUCAUUCCUUGAGGCUUCUGACUUGACGAUUCCUCCACACCCACCGGUGACAAUGAAUGCGUUUUUCCUACGACAGUAGUCAGUUUAACACCUUGCUUAGCUGCUCUCUGGCUCUGCCUCCUGCGACAGUGGACGAUGUCCUGAGCUAAAACGCUGGGCGCCGGUCGUGCUGUGGGGGCGCCUCUGCUGCAGGGUUUCCCGAAUGUGGCCGCGUUCUCCUGGCUCUAGCAGAGACGGUUCCACACAGGCCUGGCGUUAAAUCACCGUCAAUCACGCUGUGAGAAAUGCAUUCCUUUUCUGCUUCUCCUUCCACUCUCUGCCGACUUCAAGGAGAAUGUCUCAGGUGGUGCUACUGUGGCUUGAACGCCUCUUCAGCACUUGCUGAUAUUCCUUUGGAACAAGGAGGCAGAGGCCUCAAGCAGGAGCCUGCGGAAGGCAACGCUAUUUAGAGGGAAGCCACAACGUUGUUUUAUUUAUCUGUUUGUUUCUUAGAGCCCGACUGCUUGGUUUCGAAUGGUAACCCUGCUUACUUUUCAGCUGUGACCUUUGGCAAGUUACUUAAGAGCUGUGUGCCUCAGUCUCCCCGUCUGCCUACUAGAGCUAUAACGGCACCCCAUCGUAGCAUCGUUGUGGGGAUGAAUGAGUUAAUGUUGGUAAAGUGCCCCCCGGAGUGCCUGGCACGGGGUUGUUCCCACAUCUUGGCUGUCGUGAAUAGUGCUACAGCGAACAUCAAACUAAAAAGCUUCCACCCAGCAAAGGAGACAAUCAACAGAGUGAAAAGGCAACUACAGAGUGGGAGAAGAUAUUUACCAACCAUGUGUCUGAUAAGGGGUAUAUAGCCAAAGUAAUAAGGAACUCCUACAACUCCACAGCAAAAAAUUGAAUAACUCAAUUGAAAAAUGGACUAAGGACUUGAAUUUUUCCAAAGGAGACACACAAAUGGCCAACAGGUACAUGAAAAGAUGCUCAACGUCACUGAUCAUCAGGGAAAUGCAAAUCAAAACCUUAUACCUGUGAGGAUGGUUGUUACCAAAAAAACAAAGACAAGUGUUGGUGAGGAUGUAGAGAAAUUGAAACCCUCGCACACUGUUGAUGGGGAUGCAAAAAGAUGCGGUCGCUAUGGAAGAUAGUAUGGAGGCUCCUCAAGAAGUUAAAAGUUGACUACCAUAUGAUCCAGCCACCCCACUUCUGGGUACUUAUCCGCAAGAGCUGAAACCAAGCUUUCUUUUGCAGUGGGCAGUACUCUCCUUCCCCAGGUGCCCACUGUCCAGAGGUCCCUGCCUUUCUCUUGCACUCCCUGCCUCGGGCCUGGGGCCUUUGCUGGGGUGCUCAGGAGCUUCUGAGGGUGGGAUUAACAGGCACUGAAGCUCGGUCACCUCCACAACUUCUAAAUUGGGUUUCUCACCAACGAUGUGAAGAUUUCAUGGAACAAGGGGCCUCUGCCGCCACCUGCUGGGCACCUGGGGAAAGGGCUCUUACGCCCCAAGGAGCCCUUCCUGCUGUCUGGGCAUUUAUAAAUGCAUGCCAGCAAUAGCAAUAACAAUAGCUGUGAUUUAUUAAAUGAUUGUCAGACAUUGUACCAAGUGCUUUCAAGACACGAUGUCUUAAUCUCCAACAGCCUUGAAAUGUGGCUGCCUUCUCCUCAUGUAUUUAUAUAGAGAGAUGAGGAAGCAUGCUCAGCAAGAGAAAGAAUGGUCAACAUCACACGGCCAGCGACUGGCCAGUGGAUUCGAACCCAGGUCUGUCUGGCCCCAAAGUGGGGCUGAGCAGCGUCCUGGAGAAAGGCAGAGAGGGAGCGAGAGGGUGGGCAGGAGAGGCUGGAGGGCUGUAGAAGGUUCUGGAAACUACUCCUGGUGACCUUCCCGGGAAGGUCCACUCACAGCUACUCCCUCUCUGGAUGCCCAGGGCCUUGCUCUGAGUCCUCCUCAGCACAUCCUUCUGCCCACCUUGGGCGUGCACUCCCUCACCCAGCAUCACAGCUGGGGAAACUGAGGCUCCAGAGGUGGAGAAUCUAGACCAUGGAUUCCAGAGAGUGUGGGGCAGAGGGGAGACUGAUCCCAGGCCCUGAGCCCAGUGCUGGGGGGAUCCAAGUGAACAACGAGAAACAGGGAAGGCGACCUGAGCCCAAGUUUCUGUCCACGUCAACUCCUCACGAUCCGGGGCCCACAGGGCAGGUGGGCAUAGGGGCUGGGAGACCCUCUGUGGGAUAGAUUCCCGGUGCGCACUCUGAAUGAUGGCCUUGCCACCGUCAAGGGCCCCGCCUGUCCGUCAGGAGGCCUCUCCAAGGGAGGGCCUGCCACGAUGUCGGAGCAGCACUCUUUUCUGGCUCUGCCACUUCCCAGCUCUGAGAUCUUGGGCAACUUCCUUCAGCUUUCCGAGCCUCAGUUUACCCUUCUGUAAAAUGGGACUAAUCGCAGUCUCUACCUCUUCGAGCUGGAUUGGGAACCAAGUGACAACCCAUACCUAAAGCCCUGAGUGCUCAGGAAGCACUUGAUAAAUGGCAUCACUAGGGACCCCCACAGACACACACUAGCCAGGCCUCAAUGCCUCUGCCAGGCUGAGAAGCAGGCGUUGUGGGAUGCCUCUGCAGGGGAAACUGAGUCACUAGGUCAGGAAGUGCCUGGGCCUAGGCUUCAGCUUGAGUCACAGGCCUAAUGCUGGGAAACCUCCCUGCAGCCACCUCCAGAAAUGCUUCGUGCCUCUGUCUGGCAGCCUCAGAGCCUCCACCCCGUGUCACCAGCCAGGGGACCUUCCCCCAAGGAGCCCCCCGCAGCCAGGCAGGCUCAGCCCUGCAAGAUGUAUCCGAUGGACGAAGGACGCUGAGAUGCACAUAUAUCCCUGCUCGACAGGCGAGGGAACUGAGGCUAGGAGGGGCAGGUGAUGCGCCCGCCGGCACAGCGGUGUGGGGGUAGGACCCUGACUCGACCCCAGGGCGUUCAUCAGAGGAAGCUCGGUGGCUGGGCUCCCUCAGGGCUGAUUUACAACCCCAGCUCAGGCCUGGGAUCAAAGUUGGUUUGCAGGAAGCCCUUCCCAUCCCGACUUCCCCGGGACCGGGACACGCUUUGACGUCAGCACGUCCACAUUCCUGCCCUCGGGCCCCAGGGUGGGGGCACCGACUUCCUCCCUCCAGCGUUGGCGUCGCAAACAGGAAGCUGGGUCACGAGGGCGGUCCCGCCAGGGCGCCCGGAGGAGGGGGUGGGAGGCCAGGCCAGGCGGCGGUCCCAGCGCUGGACCACCUGGCGCAGGGCACGGGGACGGCCGGGUCGUGUUAUAAGGCGCCCCUGUGCUCCGGGGCCCGUACAGAGGGCCUUCAAGGCUUCAUCCCUUUGGUCUUCACAAACGACACGCUCACGGAUCACGAUUUCUCUCUCGGACUGACAGCAAUGCCUACCGUGGGCCGAGCGCUCCCUCCAGGCGUGCGCUUCACACGGGUCCUCUCAUUUAAUCCUUAUAAACACCCCUCUUAUCGUCUGUUAACAGAUGAGGAAACUGAGGCACUGCAGGCUAAGUCAGUCUCCAAUGUCCCGCGGCUGUGGGGAGUGGGUGGGGACUCGGACCCAGCGUCUGCCGGGAGCCCCGUCCCCGCCCUCUCGGCCCUUGCUCCGCGUGCUGGAAACUGCAAAUCCGACCACGUCUCUCCCUCCUCACCCUUCCAUGGCUCCCCUCUACCCGGGGACGGCGGUCAGCCUUUCUCACAGGGAUCUGAAGGGACCCGCGCUGCCCUGCGGACGGAAGGACAUUACCCCCGAUGGCAUCGCUGAUGCUACAAAACCAACAGCCUUGUCUGGGUCAAUCAAGGUUGACCUCGAGAUUAGGACUCUUUGGGUCUGUUA